GAUUCACGAUUUUCGAGAAAACAAUGGCAGUGAACUAUCAAGUAAGUAGUUGAAUAUACCUAUGAAGCAUGGACCAGAGUCUCCCUGGGGUGGUUGGCACUAGUCGUGAACUUGCGAUGCUGCUGUCUGUGGUCAGCGUUUCCACGGCACUUAAGGGUCAACAUUUAAGGAACACUCCGUCGUGCUGAACCCAAGCACUUUGAUUGAUGGAAUGCUGAAAAAAAAAGCAUGCGUGUGGCCCAUGAAAGCAUGGCAAGGCCUCCCAGAGGUUGAGAACGUGUCUCCAGAAACUCUGUAUCAUCUUGGUACACUGAUCGAUCUUGGUUGAAUCUAAUCUUCUGUUACCGAAAAAUUCUGCGGCUGUCGGGCUCGAAUCUGUAGACGGCUCUGGCAAGGAGGAGUCCCGUUGCUGGUUUGGAU
rnacentral:lncRNA from 7 species